AUGGAGAAUGAUGUGUUGGGAAACACCUUGGAAGGUGUGCAUGUGGAAGAGGAAGAAGGAGAAAAAACAGAAGAUGAAUCUCUGGUAGGAAAUAAUGAUAACAUAGAUGAGGAAGCAAGGGAAGAGUUGAGAGAACAGGUUUAUGACGCCAUGGGAGAAAAAAAAGAAGCCAGAAAAACAGAAGACAAGUCUUUGGCAAAGCCUGAAACUGAUAAAGAACGAGACAGUGAAAUGGAGAAGGGUGGAAGAGAAGAUAUGGAUAUAAGUGAAUCUGCAGAGGAGCCACAGGAAAAAGUUGACUUGACUCUAGAUUGGUUAACUGAAACCUCUGAAGAGGCAAAAGGAGGAGCAGCACCAGAAGGACCGAAUGAAGCUGAGGUCACUUCAGGGAAGCCAGAACAGGAAGUACCAGAUGCUGAGGAAGAAAAAUCAGUUUCUGAAACUGAUGUCCAAGAAGAGUGCAGAGAAAAAGGAGGUAGGAAGAAGCAGGGAGAGGUAAUUGUGAGCACAGAGGAGAAGCCAAAAGAAGUUUCAGAAGAGCAGCCUGUGGUGACUCUAGAAAAGCAGGGCACUGCAGUGGAGGUAGAAGCAGAGUCUUUAGACCCAACCGUCAAGCCAGUAGAUGUGGGUGGGGACGAGCCAGAGGAGAAGGUAGUUACCUCUGAAAAUGAGGAAGGAAAGGUGAUUCUUGAGCAACUGGUAGGUCAAGAAGUGCCACCUGCUGAAGAGUCACCAGAGGUGACAACAGAGGCUGCAGAGGCCUCAACUGUAGAGGCUGGAUCAGAAGUCUCUGAAAAGCCUGGGCAGGAGGCUACAGUUCUCCCUAAGGAUGGUGCAGUCAAUGGACCGUCAGCUGUAGGAGAUCAGACUCCUAUUGAACCACAGACUUCUAUAGAAAGACUGACAGAAACAAAAGAUGGCUCAGGACUAGAGGAGAAGGUCAGAGCAAAGCUGGUUCCCAGUCAGGAGGAGACUAAGCUGUCUGUAGAAGAGUUUGGGCAGCUGGAGAUGGGGUUGAUACCCAGGUAGCCCAGGGAGCUACUGAGAAAUCACCUGAAGACAAAGUUCAGAUAGCUGCUAAUGAAGAGAUAAAAGAGAGAGAACAGAUAAAAGAGGGUGAAGAAACUGAAGGCUCAGAAGAGGAUGAUAAAGAAAAUGAUAAGACUGAAGAAAUGCCAAACGAUUCAGUCCUUGAAAACAAGUCUCUUCAAGAAAACGAAGAGGAGGAGAUUGGGAACCUAGAGCUUGCCUGGAGUAUGCUGGAUUUAGCAAAGAUCGUUUUUAAAAGGCAAGAAACAAAAGCCCAGCUUUAUGUUGCCCAGGCACAUCUUAAACUCGGAGAAGUUAGUGUUGAAUCUGAAAACUAUGUGCAAGCUGUGGAGGAGUUCCUGUCCUGCCUAAACCUGUAGGAACAGUACCUGGAAGCCCACGACCAUCUCCUUGCAGAGACCCACUACCAGCUGGGCUUGGCUUAUGGGUACAACCCUCAGUAUGAUGAGGCAGUGGCACAGUUCAGCAAAUCUAUUGAAGUCAUUGAGAAGAGAAUGGCUGUACUAAACGAGCAGGUGAAGGAGGCUGAAGGAUCAUCUGCUGAAUACAAGAAAGAAAUCAAGGAACUGAAGGAACUGCUACCCGAAAUUAGAGAGAAGACAGAAGAUGCAAAGGAGUCUCAGCAUACUGGGAAUGUAGCUGAACUGGCUCUGAAAGCUACUCUGGUGGAGAGCUCUACUUCAGGUUUCACCCCUAGUGGAGGAGGCUCUUCAGUCUCCAUGAUUGCCAGCAAAAAGCCAACAGAUGUUGCUUCCUCAUUAAAUUGCGUGACUGAUAUUUCCCACCUUGUCAGAAAGAAGAGGAAACCAGAGGAACAGGGUCCCCAGAAAGAUGAUGCAAAGAAAGCCAAACAAGAGCUGGAGGUGAACGGAGGCAGUGGAGAUGCUGUCCCCAGUGGAAAUGAAGUUUUGGAAAACAUGGAGGAGGAGGCUGAGAAUUGGGCUGAAAGCUGGGUGGCAGUGGAGGGGACAGUGGAGGCUGGAGCUACAGUUGAAAGCACUGCAUCUAAAGAGGGGGCAUAG